ACCCUCCAGGUUUUUCACCCAUGAGAUCUAGACACUAAUCUGAGUGGUUAUAUAAGGAGGAAAAGUGAAAUUGGAACUGGCUUAAACGUUUUUUGUUCAAACGAACUAAGAAAUAAAAUUC
rnacentral:snoRNA from 1 species